GGUGAACGCUCGCGGCAGGCCUAAUACAUGCAAGUCGAGCGGCAGCGCAGUGUAGCAUUACACGGGCGGCGACCGGCAAACGGGUGCGGAACACGUACGCCACCUACUCAUAACUGAUGAAUAGCCCUCCGAAAGGAGGAUUAAUACAACGUAACUUAAUGAAGCGGCAUCGCUUUAUUAAUAUAGCUCCGGCGGUUUUGGAUGGGCGUGCGCCUGUUUAGGUAGUUGGCGGGGUAACGGCCCACCAAGGCUGCGAUCAGUGACUGGUGUGUGAGCACGACCAGUCACACGGGCACAGCGACACGGACCCGACUCCUGCGGGAGGCAGCAGUAAUGAGUAUUGGACAAUGGACGCAAGUCUGAACCAGCUAUGCCGCGUGAAGGAUGAAGGUCCUGUGGAUUGUAAACGUCUUUAGAAUGGGACGAAACCUCUUUUUCUUGAGAGACUGACGGUACCAAUAGAAUAAGCACGGGCUAACUCCGUG
rnacentral:rRNA from 1 species